AACAAUCAAACAGAGAAGCGGUUCUCACGAGCUCACCGCUACACUGUUGUCACUCUCUGUUCAGCUGCUCAACACCGCGCGCUCAGUGUUUGCCCUCCAGAAACAAAGACUUGCGGCGACCCUGAAAGACAGAGAACUGAUACUUUGUUUCCGGAAAUAGAAUUCACUUUCCCCUUUGUAACAGAACUGAACUCCAUUCUUCAUUAUGUCUGAAUAACGCUGAUGCACGUUUACCUCGAGGCUUAACAGAAAUUACCAUACAUGUUGCUUAAUAUCUAGAUUUAUUGUAG